rnacentral:tRNA from 1 species
GUGGCCGUAGCUCAAUCCUGGUAGAGCGCCGCGUUGUGGUCGCGGUGGUUGCGGGUUCAAGUCCCGUCGGUCACCCCA